UCGGCCUUUGGGAGCGGCGGACGGGUGAGUAACACGUGGGAAUCUGCCUAUUAGUGGGGGACAGCCCAGCGAAAGCUGGAUUAAUACCGCAUACGCCCUACGGGGGAAAGCAGCAAUGCGCUAAUAGAUGAGCCCGCGUAAGAUUAGCUAGUUGGUAAGGUAAAGGCUUACCAAGGCGACGAUCUUUAGCUGGUCUGAGAGGAUGGCCAGCCACAUCGGGACUGAGACACGGCCCGGACUCCUACGGGAGGCAGCAGUCGGGAAUAUUGGACAAUGGGCGCAAGGCUGAUCCAGCAAUACCGCGUGUGUGAAGAAGGCCUGCGGGUUGUAAAGCACUUUCAGUUGGGAAGAUAAUGACGUUACCAACAGAAGAAGCACCGGCUAACUCCGUGCCAGCAGCCGCGGUAAUACGGAGGGUGCAAGCGUUAAUCGGAAUUACUGGGCGUAAAGCGUGCGUAGGCGGCCUGUUAAGUCAGAUGUGAAAGCCCCGGGCUUAACCUGGGAACUGCAUCUGAUACUGGGAGGCUAGAAUGUGGGAGAGGAGAGUGGAAUUUCCGGUGUAGCGGUGAAAUGCAUAGAGAUCGGAAGGAACACCAGUGGCGAAGGCGGCUCUCUGGACC
rnacentral:rRNA from 1 species